UUAAGGAGAGGAGAGACUGAAGAUGGGGAAAGAAAGGCAGACAGAGGGAGCAAGAGAAAGACAAGAAUGGAGUCUGCAGGCCAUAGAGGAGCACACUGUUCCACAAUCCUGUGAAAAUGCCAUAAGCUAUUGGGAAGAGAAUGGUCAGCCCAAGGCAUCCCCCAUCAUCAGUGCCUUUGCUCCAUCCAAACCUGAGCUAGACACAAAAAAGGUCACCCUCGUGUGCCUGGUAAAUGGCUUCUACCCAAGGAAUUUGGACAUGGCUUGGACCAAGAAUGGCUCCCCCGUGACCGACGGGGUGAUGACCAGCCCCCCAGUCCGCCAGAGUGACAACAAGUAUACAGCCAGCAGUUACCUCUCACUCUCUGCUGACCAAUGGCUUUCUGACAGCACUUACAGCUGCAAGGUCACCCAUGAAGGCCAGGUCUUCCAGAAGCAGCUGUCCUCAACCCAGUGUACUUAGAAGCCCACAUGCUUCCUCCCUCACGUCCCACAAUGGACUUCCCCACCUCUUCCCCCUCCUCCCCUACUUUCAAUAAAGAUCUUCUCCUUUCUCAUUCAA